rnacentral:rRNA from 1 species
AUAGGACUCUCGGCAACGGAUAUCUAGGCCCUCGCAUCGAUGAAGAACGUAGCAGAAUGCGAUACUUGGUGUGAAUUGCAGAAUCCCGUGAACCAUUGAGUCUUUGAACGCAAGUUGCGCCCGGAGUCUUCGAGCCGAGGGCACGCCUGCCUGGGAGUCACGC